UGGGGAAUAUUGGACAAUGGGCGAAAGCCUGAUCCAGCCAUGCCGCGUGUGUGAAGAAGGCCUUUUGGUUGUAAAGCACUUUAAGCGAGGAGGAGGCUACUUGGAUUAAUACUCUAGGAUAGUGGACGUUACUCGCAGAAUAAGCACCGGCUAACUCUGUGCCAGCAGCCGCGGUAAUACAGAGGGUGCGAGCGUUAAUCGGAUUUACUGGGCGUAAAGCGUGCGUAGGCGGCUUUUUAAGUCGGAUGUGAAAUCCCCUGAGCUUAACUUUAGGAAAUUGCAUUCGAUACUGGGAAGCUAGAGUAUUGGGGAGAGGAUGGUAGAAUUCCAGGUGUAGCGGUGAAAUGCGUAGAGAUCUGGAGGAAUACCGAUGGCGAAGGCAGCCAUCUGGCCUAAUACUGACGCUGAGGUACGAAAGCAUGGGGAGCAAACAGGAUUAGAUACCCUGGUAGUCCAUGCCGUAAACGAUGUCUACUAGCCGUUGGGGCCUUUGA
rnacentral:rRNA from 1 species